GUAGGUCAAAUUUCCCGAGUAAGGAAAAUUUCUCGGUUAGAAACUUGAAAAAUCCAAGUCACUGAGUAGUCGUGAAACUUUCGAGCACCGAGGUGUAGUAGCAUAUGGUAAGAGUCCCCCAAGUCUCCGGUCGAGGGAGCUGAUGAAUGAGGUGUAUUGCUAGUAGCCAAGUUUACAAAGUAACAAAACUUCAUCCUUUUCUUUUCUAAGUGGUAGCCCAAAACUCCUUUAUAUGAUCACGAAGGAUGAUACAUUUCU
rnacentral:lncRNA from 1 species